UCAGUUGCAAUCUAGCAUCUGGGGCUUACACACGAGUAUUGUAUUACUCUUAAAAACAAAUGCCCCGGGAAGGUCUGAGAUGUGGUCAAAAGUUCACAAAAAACGCCAAGUUGUAUGGUGUUUGGACUUCAAAUAUUUUCUAGCAGGAAACUUGUGUGAUCAAGAGGCAAAAGGACAAGAAAUUCUGUAUUUUUGUUAAAAUAUAAAAAUACAUUGAAAUCUUUUGUGACCAGCAAUUUUAGUGCAAUGUGCUCGCUAUUCCCUGGAAUAGAACUCAAUUCAGACUAAUCUGUGACUGA
rnacentral:RNase_P_RNA from 2 species